UAUAUCAAACAAAAUAGACUUUAAAAACUUUUUAGAAACAAAGACAGUAAUUGUAUAAUGACAUAAGAGUCAAUUCAAUAAGAAGACAUAAUUUUAAAUACAUAUGCACCCACCAUUAUAGCAAUUAAAUAUUUGAAGCAAAUAUUGACAUAUAUGAAAGAAGAAACUGACUGCAAGACAAUACUAGUAGAAAACUUCAAAACUCCGUUUUCAAUAAUGCAUAAAGCAUCCAAACAGAAAAUAAAUUAAGAAACUGUAGACUUGAAUAACACUACAGACCAAAUGGACCUAUCAGACAAAACUCUCCACCCAACAGCAGAAGAAUAUACAUUGUUCUCAGCACACAUAAAACAUUCUUCAGGAUAGAUAACACAUUGGGCAAUGAAACAAGUCUUAACAAAAUGGGUAAGUUUGAAAUUAUACCAAGUAACUUUUCUGACCACAGUGGAAUCAAAUUCAAAAUCAGGAACAGUAAGAAAAUGAGAAAAUUCAUAAAUACGUAAAAAUUAACAAGAUUUGAAAAACCAUUCAGUCAAAGAGGAAAUCAAAAGGAAAUUAAAAGAGUGUCUCAAGACAAAUGAAAACAAAAUUACUACAUACCAAAACCAUGUGGAAUGUAGCAAAAGCAGUAUUAAGAGGAAAAUUUGUAGCAAUAAAUGCCUACAUUAAAAGGCAAGAGAGAUCUCAAAUAAACAAUCUAAUGUUACACAUCAAGAAACUAGAAAAAGAAAUGAAGACUAAGCCCCAAACUUAGCAGAAAGGAAAUGAAUAAUAAAAAUCAGAGCAGAAAUAAAACAAAUUGAAAAAAAUCAACAAAAUCAAGGUCUAGUUUUUUCCCCCGAGACUGAGUCUUGCUCUGUCACCCAGUCUGGAGGGCAGUGGUGAGAUCUCGGCUCACUGUAGCCUCUGCCUCCCAGGUUCAAGCAAUUCUUCUGCCUCAGCCUCCCAAGUAGCUGAGAUUACAGGGGCCUGCCACCACGCCCAGCUAAUUUUUGUAUUUUUAGUAGAGACAGGGUUUUACCAUGUUGGCCAGGCUGGUCUCGAAUUCCUGACCUCAUGAUCUGCCCGCCUCAGCCUCCCAAAAUGUUGGGAUUAUAGGCGUGGCCAAGAUGUAGUUUUCUGAAAAGAUAAAAUUAACAAUCCCUCAGCUAGUUUAAGAAAAAAGAGAAGUCUCAGAUAAAUAAAAUCGAUGGUAAAGAGAAGGCAUUAAAACAGAGGCCUUAGAAAUAACAAGGAUCAUAAGAAUGUAUUAUGUACAAUUAUAUGCCAACAAAUUUGAUAAAAUAAGUGGAUACAUUCCUAGAAACAGGAAACCCACCAAGACUGAAAUAAUGAAUAGAUAUAAAGCCUAAGCAGACAAAUAACAAGUAAAGAGAUUGAAAUGUUAAUAAAAUACUGCCUAACCAAAAAAAGCACAGGACCAGAUGGUUUCAUGGGUAAAUUCUACCAAAUACUCAAAAAAAUAAUUAAUACCAAAGCUACUUAAAGCCUUAAAAAAAAAAGAAGAGGAAACGCUUCAAAACUAAUUUUAUAAGGCUAGCAUCACUUUCAUGUGAAAGCCAGACAAAGACACCACAGAAAACAAAUCUAGAAGCCAAUAUCUGUGAUGAAUAUAGAUAGAACAGUUCUCAAUAAAAGACUAGCUAACUUAAUUCAAAAGUACAUGAAAAAGAUUAUACAACAUAAAUAAGUAAAGUUUUCCCAGAGAAGCAAGGCGAGUUCAGUAUAUGCAAAUCAAUCAAUGUAAUGUAACAUAAUAUAAACCAAAAGCCAUGUAAUAAUCUCAAUAGACACAGAAAAAGCAUUUGACUGGGUUCAACAUCUAUUUAUAAUAGAAAACUGUAAACAAAGUAGGUAUAGAAGAAACUUACCUGAGCAUAAUAAAGGAUAUUUAUAAAAAGCCCACAGUUAGCAUCUUAAUGAAUGAGGAAAAACUGAAAGCUUUCCCUCUGAGGUCUGGUUGAAGGCACUUGCCAGUUCUAUUCAACAGAUCAUUACAUAUCAACAUAAUAAAAGCUGGGAAGUCCCACCAGAGCAUAAAAAAAGAAACAAAAGUC
rnacentral:lncRNA from 10 species